rnacentral:rRNA from 1 species
GACAGAGGCCUCGAGCGUUAGGCGGAAUCACUGGGCUUAAAGCGUGUGUAGGCGGAUCGUUAAGUGCCUUGUGAAAUCCCACGGCUUAACUGUGGAACGGCUGGGCAUACUGGCGGUCUUGAGCCAUCUAGGGGCGACUGGAACAAACGGUGGAGCGGUGAAAUGCGUAGAUAUCGGAAGGAACAUCAGUGGCGAAAGCGACUUCCUGGACCAAUACUGACGCUCAUGUGCGAAAGCGUGGGGAGCAAACAGG